rnacentral:tRNA from 1 species
GAGCGAUUGGCUCAGCUGGAUAGAGCGUCGGCCUCCGAAGCCGAAGGUCAUGGGUUCAAAUCCCGUAUCGCUCA